rnacentral:rRNA from 1 species
AUGUCAGAUUCAGAACCUAAAGACCUGGACAAAGGAAGGAACUACUUCGUGAAAGACUCAAUAGGCCAAGGCGAAUACUGCUGCCAAUGCUGCAAGUUUGAAUGGGACGGCAUUGUGUGCUGUCACAUACUAAAAGUAAUGGACAUGAACGCUGUGACAUGGAUGCCCCGCCAUUUCAUAAGGCGGCGAUGGACUUGGAACGCUGACAACGCGUUGGCGCCGCAGACAACAAAUGCAGUUCUGGCUGUGCAUGACGAGAGACCAGAGUCAACCAUGGAAGCCGUGAGGCACAUUGUGUUGACAAAGAAUUAUGCUGAGCUAAUUGAUGAAGCAUGCAAGAGUGAUGAGACAGCGAGAGUCACAGAAAAACACAGGAAGGCCCUGAAAAGAGAGCUUGAUGAGAUCAAGAAGAGGAAAGCUGAGGAAGCCUUACACAGGUUUCCCCGCACAUCAAGUGUGCCUUCGUCCCUGGGGCCAUCAUCUAAAAACUCGGAGAUAGGAUCUGGAAUAGCAAGCACACAAACCCAGGUCAGGAACCCACCCCGUUCCAUCACAAAGGGUCGUCCAAGAGAGGUAAGGUACAAAUCGGAAUUGAAGAUUCAAGCAAAACACAAGAAAACGAAGAAAGGGACGGGCAAUCCAUAA